GCUGGGGUGGCGGAACUGGUAGACGCACUGGCUUCAGGAGUCAGCGGUCGCAAGACCAUAGGAGUUCGACUCUCCUCCCCAGCACCA
rnacentral:tRNA from 1 species